GCUGCAGGAUGCAAGCACAUUCAGACAGCAAAACAGCAAUGUCACAAAAAAGGACAUAUCCUCUGGUGCAAAGAAAAGGAAAAAGAAGAAAAAAAGAGGAAGAGAAAAAAACAGCAUGAUAAAGGUCCAUCCUCUGCAUGCGAGGAGCACUUCCCAGCAUGUACAUCCACUGAUGUGGUCAUCUAUCCUGUCUGACUCAGAAAGGACUGAUCUGAUGAAUCCACGGCAGAUAGUCUGCACUGACUCUACUGAGCUGAAGGUCACUAGCAGAG